rnacentral:rRNA from 1 species
CACACUGCCGAGAAAAGCCUCUAGAUAGAAAAUAGGUGCCCGUACCGCAAACCGACACAGGUAGUCAAGAUGAGAAUUCUAAGGUGAGCGAGCGAACUCUCGUUAAGGAACUCGGCAAAAUGACCCCGUAACUUCGGGAGAAGGGGUGCUCUUUAGGGUUAACGCCCAGAAGAGCCGCAGUGAAUAGGCCCAAGCGACUGUUUAUCAAAAACACAGGUCUCUGCUAAACCGUAAGGUGAUGUAUAGGGGCUGACGCCUGCCCGGUGCUGGAAGGUUAAGAGGAGUGGUUAGCUUCUGCGAAGCUACGAAUCGAAGCCCCAGUAAACGGCGGCCGUAACUAUAACGGUCCUAAGGUAGCGAAAUUCCUUGUCGGGUAAGUUCCGACCCGCACGAAAGGCGUAACGAUUUGGGCACUGUCUCAACGAGAGACUCGGUGAAAUCAUAGUACCUGUGAAGAUGCAGGUUACCCGCGAC